CGUAGCGCGCCUUCCGCUCCUGGUCGAGUUCGUUACACAGAGUGUCUGGAAGACAUGGGGAGGGGCCGGGGAGGAAAUGAGACCACCCUCGGGCCAGCGGAGGUCACCGCCAGGGCCUCACCCUCUCCCCAGCGCUCCGCCCCUCGUAGAAACCAGUCGGGGGACCGAGGGAGGGGGCAUCAACGCUCCAAACUGCAGCCUGGCGAGGGAGGAAAUGGCCUGGGAUGGCGCUUAAAGGCAGACGGAUCUAACCAAAAUUAAAGCAAACUUAGGCAUUACUUCCCAGGAGGUCCUCAGAACCCAAAUCCAUGCUAAGAACCCUCACAUAAAGCACCAGUGAUUUUGGAGACUUACUCCUACAGGAAUAACACCCUCUACGAGAAGGGACCAUCUCCCUCAAGCACAGUGCACAGAUUUAACCUCACCUCUGGCCAGGUUCUCGAUGUCUUUCUCCACUAGCUGAGUUCCCGUGACAUCCAGCGUGAGCCCAUCUUCGCCUGGGAUACAAGGGCAGUACACCCCUUCCCUUACCCAGAAGACUCCCAAACUCAAGAAACCUGGCUUGCACCUCGCCAGCUGUUUAAAUAUUUAUCUGCCAGCCACGAGAGGGGACCGGCAGCCGCUUACGGUUGAUGGAAAGCCUUCCUCGCAGGCUGCAGCCGGUGGGAACCUGGGCGACCUCGGCCCCGGCUCCCGGGCGGGGGUGCUGCUCGAGAGUCCUAAG